rnacentral:rRNA from 1 species
GAUGAACGCUGGCGGCGUGCUUAACACAUGCAAGUCGAACGAAGCACCUUGAUUUGAUUCUUCGGAUGAAGAUCUUGGUGACUGAGUGGCGGACGGGUGAGUAACGCGUGGGUAACCUGCCUCAUACAGGGGGAUAACAGUUAGAAAUGACUGCUAAUACCGCAUAAGACCACAGCACCGCAUGGUGCAGGGGUAAAAACUCCGGUGGUAUGAGAUGGACCCGCGUCUGAUUAGGUAGUUGGUGGGGUAACGGCCUACCAAGCCGACGAUCAGUAGCCGACCUGAGAGGGUGACCGGCCACAUUGGGACUGAGACACGGCCCAAACUCCUACGGGAGGCAGCAGUGGGGAAUAUUGCACAAUGGGGGAAACCCUGAUGCAGCGACGCCGCGUGAGCGAUGAAGUAUUUCGGUAUGUAAAGCUCUAUCAGCAGGGAAGAAAAUGACGGUACCUGACUAAGAAGCACCGGCUAAAUACGUGCCAGCAGCCGCGGUAAUACGUAUGGUGCAAGCGUUAUCCGGAUUUACUGGGUGUAAAGGGAGCGUAGACGGAGUGGCAAGUCUGAUGUGAAAACCCGGGGCUCAACCCCGGGACUGCAUUGGAAACUGUCAAUCUAGAGUACCGGAGAGGUAAGCGGAAUUCCUAGUGUAGCGGUGAAAUGCGUAGAUAUUAGGAGGAACACCAGUGGCG